rnacentral:tRNA from 1 species
GCCGGUUUUGUGAUCCAUUGGUUUUGUAAACCGAAGGUCGGGGGUUCGAUCCCCUCCGCCGGCACCA